rnacentral:lncRNA from 1 species
GUUUUUUCAUGAGGAAAGAAAGAAGAUGAGCUGAGCAGAGUGGUGGGACCAAGUACUGCAAGGUCAACCUGAGCUUUUUAUCCAUCUCCUUACCCUUGGCAGCUGAGAAGACCACCAGGCUGAACAGCCCCCUAAUUACUGUGAUGGCAUUGCCUUGAUUUUGUACUGCAACAUGGCUGUGAUUUGGAGCUUGUCAGCUGAAACUGCUCCACAGAACUGUUGCUCUUUAUCUGGGCUGAGCAAUCAACUUGACAGAGUAUGUGUUUUGCCUGUUUCCCUUGAGCUGGAACUUCAGUACCUGAGAGAACUUGGCCGCAUGUGUGAUUUUUCUGGAAUUCACAGUCUGUCCCCUGCAGCCUCCUGCAAAACCUUGAGAGUUGAAUCUCUGAAGUCUGAUAAGUGUGCACAUUUGUUGGGAGGCGAUAUUUACAGCUCUUUCCCUCCAUGGAUGCAUAGGUAGGACCUCUGACUCCCAAAGGACUUCCUGUUCUUCAAGAAAUCAUAAGCUCUUUUGCUCUUGAAAGAUGCCGAUAAUCAAAGCACACAGACCUGUACGUUCAGAGUACAGCUAAGUGGGUGUGCAGGAGAGGAAGGAGCCGCAUUGCCCAGUGAAAACUCAAGCUUCACGUUCAGCUUAGUGAUCUCGCUUCUUUGUGCAUCCAAGUGGCAGCAGUUGGGCAGUCUGACAGAAUGGUGCGUGACAUGAAAAUUUGUCUGAAGCAAAGGUGUGUCACUGAAUUCCUUUGUACGAAAAAGUUGUACCCAUUGACAUUCAUUGACACAGUGGAUCUUAGCACAGUGAAGUCUGGACUACGUGGACAGCAUCUUCCAAGCAAUUAUGCCAUCACAGCAGCUGUAAAAGAGUGGUCACCUCUACUGAUGUAGAUUUUCACAAACGUAGCAUGCAGGCUUUUGUUCAUCGCUGGUGAAAAUGCAUAGUUAAUGGUGACAACUGUUGAAAAAUUGUGUUCUGUAGCUCCAAAUUUGUUCUAUCAAAUAGUGCUGUUGUGCUGUUUGUGUCUGUUGUAGCUUCCAUGGGAAUAAAUAGGAGGCCUAGAGUGACCUGUGUAGCAUUCACAUGCAGAAUAAUGUCUCAUCUUGUUGUACUGUUUCAGGAUUACCUUCUGCCUAACAUUUCAGCCCAUGUACUUAAAAGUUGUUCUUGAAGACUAUUCUAACGGAAUGGUAACCUGUGCUGUCACAGGAGAGGCAGAAACUAUUGCAUGGAAGUUAAAAUAUGUAUGUCUUAUUGUUAAGUCUGUAUUUAGUAGUCAGCUGAAAUAGCUUAGGGCUAAUUGUUCUCUUUCCACUGAAUUUUCUGUGUGCUAAUAGCAGUGACAUUGGUCAGUCUUGUGAUUUUAUAGUGGAAAAAAGUAAUUGGAAACAGAUAUCACACACUUCUGCUUGCUUUUUAUUUUUACUGAGCUUUCUCCCCUUCAGAAAUAACUUCUCACAGUGAC